rnacentral:rRNA from 1 species
GAUGAACGCUGGCGGCGUGCCUAAUACAUGCAAGUCGAGCGAACAGACGAGGAGCUUGCUCCUCUGACGUUAGCGGCGGACGGGUGAGUAACACGUGGAUAACCUACCUAUAAGACUGGGAUAACUUCGGGAAACCGGAGCUAAUACCGGAUAAUAUAUUGAACCGCAUGGUUCAAUAGUGAAAGACGGUUUUGCUGUCACUUAUAGAUGUAUCCGCGCCGCAUUAGCUAGUUGGUAAGGUAACGGCUUACCAAGGCAACGAUGCGUAGCCGACCUGAGAGGGUGAUCGGCCACACUGGAACUGAGACACGGUCCAGACUCCUACGUGAGGCAGCAGUAGGGAAUCUUCCGCAAUGGGCGAAAGCCUGACGGAGCAACGCCGCGUGAGUGAUGAAGGUCUUCGGAUCGUAAAACUCUGUUAUUAGGGAAGAACAAAUGUGUAAGUAACUAUGCACGUCUUGACGGUACCUAAUCAGAAAGCCACGGCUAACUACGUG